rnacentral:misc_RNA from 1 species
UUUCGAUAAAAAUUUUUCAUAAUCACGUAUAUGCAUUAAAUUAUUUCUAUUUUUUUAAAAUUAGUAUAAAAUUUUAAGAUGAAAAAGCUACAAGUAACAUUUUUCCAAUUCUUUCUUUCUUUUGGAUGAUCUACGCACCCUUAUUCAAGAUAAUCUGCUUGAAAUGACAGCUCAAAAAAAUAUUGACGCAUUUAUGUGAGUGGAUCCCAUAAAUAAUAAUUAAUUGGUAGUAAAUUCCAAAAAAUAAUAACUAAUUAGCAGUUUUUUUUUUUUUUAAAUGAUAAUG